CCCACGGCGCCGGCUCGUUUCCUCGCCUUGCACAACGCGCUCCCCGCCGCCCCGGAGAGCCUCGCCGCCGCCUUGGGGCUCGGCAACCCCCCGUGCGCCGGAGCCUCGCUGUGGGAAGUCGGCGUGCCAGACUCUCCGAGUGGCCGGAGACAGAAGCGCCAAAAGCCGCGAGUUUUGUUCAUGAGGGUGCUUCGCAUGUACAAGCCGGACUUGGCUCUGCUGCUCCGAGGGUUUUGCUUUCUCACCGUGGCUGCCGCCUGCAAAUUGCACAGUUUCGCCAUGAGGAUGAGGAUAAAAGGAGGGUCCGAAAUGAAUGCGGGGAAGGGCGGGGGGAAAAGUGUAUCAAUGAGAAAUAGCGGUCCACAUCAUUGACAACGUUGUAUGGGGAAAUCCACUCCAAAUUAAACAGAAUGAAAGGAAAUGUCGAGAUUGAGGGGAUUUAUUCUUGUGUGCGUGUCCCAGGUGGGAUCCAGAUCCGGUAUUACACGGGCAAGGUAAUUGACAACCUGCGUGAGGAUUUUGAACCGGAUGACUUCUUGUCAGCACUGCUUCUCAUGGGCGUGUUCUCAGUGGGAAGGCGAGAAGAAGUAUCCUGACCCCCAAAAUUUCAGAGCCCUGCAUAAUCCAGGCGCAGAUGAAACAUACUUAUCACGUGUACGCCUAAAUGCC